rnacentral:rRNA from 1 species
AACGAACGCUGGCGGCAGGCUUAACACAUGCAAGUCGAACGCCCCGCAAGGGGAGUGGCAGACGGGUGAGUAACGCGUGGGAACGUGCCCUUCGCUUCGGAAUAGCCCCGGGAAACUGGGAGUAAUACCGAAUACGCCGUAUUGGGAAAGAUUCAUCGGCGAAGGAUCGGCCCGCGUUGGAUUAGCUAGUUGGAGGUGUAAUGGACCCCCAAGGCUACGAUCCAUAGCUGGUCUGAGAGGAUGAUCAGCCACACUGGGACUGAGACACGGCCCAGACUCCUACGGGAGGCAGCAGUGGGGAAUCUUGGACAAUGGGCGCAAGCCUGAUCCAGCCAUGCCGCGUGAGUGAAGAAGGCCUUAGGGUUGUAAAACUCUUUCGCCGGAGAAGAUAAUGACGGUAUCCGGAGAAGAAGCCCCGGCUAACUUCGUGCCAGCCGCCGCAGUAACAC